rnacentral:rRNA from 1 species
GGGGAAUAUUGCACAAUGGGGGAAACCCUGAUGCAGCGACGCCGCGUGAAGGAAGAAGUAUCUCGGUAUGUAAACUUCUAUCAGCAGGGAAGAAAAUGACGGUACCUGACUAAGAAGCCCCGGCUAACUACGUGCCAGCAGCCGCGGUAAUACGUAGGGGGCAAGCGUUAUCCGGAUUUACUGGGUGUAAAGGGAGCGUAGACGGACUGGCAAGUCUGAUGUGAAAGGCGGGGGCUCAACCCCUGGACUGCAUUGGAAACUGUUAGUCUUGAGUGCCGGAGAGGUAAGCGGAAUUCCUAGUGUAGCGGUGAAAUGCGUAGAUAUUAGGAGGAACACCAGUGGCGAAGGCGGCUUUCUGGACUGAAACUGACGCUGAGGCUCGAAAGCGUGGGGAGCAAACAGGAUUAGAUACCCUGGUAGUCCACGCCGUAAACGAUGAGUGCUAGGUGUCGGGGAGGAAUCCUCGGUGCCGCAGCUAACGCAAUAAGCACUCCACCUGGGGAGUACGACCGCAAGGUUGAAACUCAAAGGAAUUGACGGGGGCCCGCACAAGCGGUGGAGCAUGUGGUUUAAUUCGAAGCAACGCGAAGAACCUUACCAAGGCUUGACAUCCCGAUGACCGCUCUAGAGAUAGAGUUUCUCUUCGGAGCAUCGGUGACAGGUGGUGCAUGGUUGUCGUCAGCCCGUGUCGUGAGAUGUUGGGUUAAGUCCCGCAACGAGCGCAACCCUUAUUGCUAGUAGCCAGCGGUUCGGCCGGGCACUCUAGUGAGACUGCCUGAGACAAUCCGGAGGAAGGUGGGGAUGACGUCAAAUCAUCAUGCCCCUUAUGACUUGGGCUACACACGUGCUACAAUGGUGGUAACAAAGUGAUGCAACCUCGUGAGAGUAAGCCAACCACAAAAAUGCCAUCUCAGUUCGGAUUGUAGUCUGCAACUCGACUACAUGAAGCUGGAAUCGCUAGUAAUCGCAGAUCAGAAUGUUGCGGUGAAUACGUUCCCG